AUACGGAGGAUGCAAGCGUUAUCCGGAUUUAUUGGGUUUAAAGGGUGCGCAGGCGGAACAUUAAGUCAGUGGUGAAAUCUUACCGUUUAACGGUAAAACUGCCAUUGAUACUGAUGUUCUUGAGUGCAGUUGAGGUAGGCGGAAUGUGUAAUGUAGCGGUGAAAUGCUUAGAUACUACACAGAACACCGAUUGCGAAGGCAGCUUACUAAACUGUUACUGACGCUGAGGCACGAAAGCGUGGGGAGCGAACAGGAUUAGAAACCCCAGUAGUCC
rnacentral:rRNA from 1 species